rnacentral:tRNA from 1 species
CAAGAAAUAGUUUAAGUAGAAUUUCAGCUUUGGGUGCUGAUGGUAGGAA